CCUACGGGUGGCAGCAGUAGGGAAUAUUGGUCAAUGGAGGAAACUCUGACCCAGCCACGUAGCGUGAAGGAUGAAGGUUCUCGGAUUUUAAACUUCUGUCUCGAGGGACGAAGAAUGACGGUACCUCGUAAGAUAGCCUCUGCUAACUACGUGCCAGAAGCCGCGGUAAUAAGUAGGAGGCGCGCGUGGUCCGGAAUGACUGGGCGUAAAGGGAGUGUACGCGGAUAUAUAAGUUAGAUGUGGAAUCCUGCGGCUGAACCGCGGAAUUGCAGCUGAACCUAGAUAGCUGGAGUGCAGUAGAGGUGGGUGGAAUUCGUAGGGUAGCGGUGGAAUGCGUAGAUAUUAGGAAGAACUCCGGAGGCGAAGGCGACUCACUGGACUGCAACUGACUCUGAGGCUCGAAAGUGUGGGGAGCAAACAGGAUUAGAUACCCUUGUAGUC
rnacentral:rRNA from 1 species